GACGAACGCUGGCGGCGUGCUUAACACAUGCCAGUCGAACGGCAAGGCCCUGCUUUUGUGGGGUGCUCGAGUGGCGAACGGGUGAGUAACACGUGAGUAACCUGCCCUUGACUUUGGGAUAACUUCAGGAAACUGGGGCUAAUACCGGAUAGCAGCUCCUGCUGCAUGGUGGGCGUUGGAAAGUUUCGGCGGUUGGGGAUGGACUCGCGGCUUAUCAGCUUGUUGGUGGGGGAGUGGCUUACCAAGGCUUUGACGGGUAGCCGGCCUGAGAGGGUGACCGGCCACAUUGGGACUGAGAUAAGGCCCAGACUCCUACGGGAGGCAGCAGUGGGGAAUAUUGCACAAUGGGCGGAAGCCUGAUGCAGCAACGCCGCGUGCGGGAUGACGGCCUUCGGGUUGUAAACCGCUUUCGCCUGUGACGAAGCGUGAGUGACGGUAAUGGGUAAAGAAGCACCGGCUAACUACGUG
rnacentral:rRNA from 1 species